AUUAUUAUUAUUAUUAUUAUUAUUAUUAUUAUUAUUAUUAUUAUUAUUAUAUAAGCGUUAAAUAACACUCAAUAUAACUCAUAAUAAUAGCCCAAAUAAUUAUUUUAAGGACCCAAUAACAUUACUAUAAUUAUUUAAAAGCUAUAUUAAAAGUUGCGUAAGCGUAGCUCACUUACAUCGGAUUUUAAUGAAAACCGGGCUUUGCUCGGAGCAGCGUUUCGAAACCGAUCUUUUUUCUCGGGACUCCGGGAGCUUCGGGGCUUCCUUUGGGUGCUAAGGGGUUUACCUAGGCUUAGGAGAGGGUUAGGGGGUAGUGUGAGAAAGUAGAGAGAGAAAGUUGUGGUGGAAGGUGUGAAAAAUCCGAGAGUCUUUGCUUCCCUUUUAUAGGCUGCAGCCUCGGAGUACGCUGGGCGUACCGAGGACCUUACGCGGGGCGUAAUUCGGAUAGAGCUGCCAGCUGGCGAGACCUCGGUAGAGCGACAUGGGUUCUUCUCGGACCGCACAAGGCCAAAGAACGCUGGGCGUACUCCAUUUCGGACGUUGGGCGUAAUGCGAGGAGUGACGUGUCCGAAUCCGAAGCGAUGCCCUAAUCAACGAUGGACGAUCUAGAUCGCGCCACGUCAUCGAGUCCGUAUCAGUUUCGCAAUUUCCCCCUACGACUUCUAAAAAUCGUAACUUUCAAGUACAAGCUCCGUUUUCGACGUUCUUUAUAUCCACACAAAGGCGUGAGCGUACUCUACAACUUUCGUUUAGACUUCGUCGGCUAAUUUUGACUCGAUUAUAAAUUUUAUAUUAUUAACAGGAUGGGACAUGAUUGGUCCGUUAAAUCCUCAUAACUUCUUCAUCCGACAUCCGUUUUCGCCCAUCUUUUUCUCGUUACGCUACUCUUAACGAGAUAUUCGAUUCUCGUUUAGGUCGUGUCGGCUAAAAAUCACUCGAUCUAAUAUUCAAAUUUCGGGUUGUACACCGCUAAUCCGAAACUUCGAAAAAUCAUAACUACUUCAUGCGAAGUUAGAUUUGGGCGUUCGUUUUAUCGAUGUUCUUAGUUUAACAUACUCCACGAUUUUCGUUUAUAUUUGUAAGGCUAAAACUCGCUCUAUUGUAAAUUCACUAUUUACGCUUCCCGGUGCCGUGCCGGUUCCGUCGCGAAACUUCGACGGGUCAUAACUUCUUUGUUAUAACUCGGAUUUUGGCGUUCUUUAUAUGUACGCAAACCUUGUGACAUAUACUACAACUUGGUUCAAAUUAUUUAUUCUAAAUAAUCUUUUUUCAAAAAGUCGUUUUCGACACUUAUUGCCUCUAACUUGACUAGCCCGGAUCUACGUGCGUUACAAUUAUCUCCCCCUUAGGAUGAUUACGUCCCAGAAUCAUCAACGACAAAUGGCUCACAUGAUGACUCCAUACAUUAUCUUUUCAUCCUAAGUCAUAACUUCGAUGCUUCUUUGAACGAGUAUCUAACUCUUAGACUCCUUGACUACAGGCGGUGCUCGAUCUUGCAUCCGCUCUCUAUCUCACGUUAGACUCCAAAUUAUGACCUUCAAGUUACAAUGUCAAUCCUCAGUUGAUACGAACUUAAGAUAAGUUCUUUUAUUAAUACAAUGGAACGAUGUGUCAUAUUCUAAUGACCUAUCAUCGUGUGAUGCAUUGCUUGGACUCAGGUCAUUUGGAGUCAAAUUCCGGAACAGAAUAUACCUUCCUUCAUGUUCUAAUCACAUCUUAAAAGGCAGCAUUUCUUGCAACCGUCGCGAUACGUCUACUGAUCGCUUGGAUUAAUCCUUUCGGCUUAAGUCGGGUGCUACAUCGAACUUGGUUCUCUGAACCACGUAACAUACUUAUUGUAGUCGAACUCAAUUCGAUAUGAACACUAAGGUCGGAAUAACAACAAUCUUCUUAGUCAUUACUGAAACGAUGGUAAUGACAUGCUUGAAUAAAACGGAAUCAAUUAUUGGCUUUUUGGUAACCUUGUGACUUUCCCUGAUCCAAGCGUGAGUCCUGUGCUUCCGGUAGUAUAUGCAUCUACUACCUUUCACACCUACUCAUACUCAUCCCAAGUAUUGUCUCGCAGUUUUCCAAGUCACCAUACAAGAAAAUCACAUAACAGUUUAACACAUCAGAUAACAAAACAAAGGUUGUAUUAUUUCUUGAAACUAUUAGAUAGGUGUUCAAGUUCACCCUAGACUAUGCCUCUAAUAGGCUACAUCAUACGAUACUAUGGCUACUGCAUGAAUUGAUCUUCGGAUAUGAAGUCCUCACCCUUGAUUCCUCGCAUGGUUUUCUGCUUCGUCGAGGAUCAUGUGGAAUGCCCUUGGCCUUGGUGGCGUGUUUGGCCUUGCUGCCUUGUUUUUCUUUGGGCAGUCCCUAAAGAUAUGCCCUGCUUUGCUACAUCCAUAGCACACCUUCUUGUUGGACAUACACUUGUUGGCGUAAUGCCCUGUCUUUCCACAUUUGUAGCAAGUUACCUCCUCGCUACAUUUCCCGAAGUGCUUCUUUUUACAAUUCUCGCACCACUUGGAUUCACCUCCUCCUCCUUCUUCAGUUUUUGAGAAUUUCCUUUCUUUGUUGGAUUUUGAAGAUCCUUCAUGCUUCCUUUUUUCUCCUACCUUUUCUUUUUUCUAAACCCAUUUCUCUUAUCUGGGUCUCUACAUUCUUAGUUGCUCUAACAGAUGUUUUCAAGGUAAUUGCCAUUUUGACCAUUGGGCCGAAGUCUGUGGGCAAUCCGUUAGCAAACCUAUUGAUCUUUGAGAGUUCAGUAGGAACCAAGUAGGGAAAUAGCUUCAUCCUCUCGGUGAAUGCGGUGGCAUACUCAUCAACACUCAUCUUCCCUUUCUUCAGGUUCUUAAACUCAUUCUUCAGGUUUAUCAGAUCUAUCUCUGAGCAGUACUGCAUUUUCAAAUGUUCCAAGAACUCUUCCCAUGACAUCCUUAGGGCUUCUCCUCGUGGCAUCGUAUCUGCCAAUAGCUCCCACUAGCUCAAAACUCCAGUUUUCAGCUGUCUUAUUGCGAAGACAGUCUUCUGUUUCUCGCUAAAGCUGCAACUCUCAAACACCAUCUCCAUCUCAGAGAUCCAAUCCAUAAUUUCAACCGGCUUCGGGAUUCCUGAGAGACUCGGUGGUUUCGCACCCAAGAAAUUCUUGUAUAUUCGCCCAUCCUUGUCAUUUCUCCUCUCCGGGCCUUCCCUUCAUUUGCCUUGAGUCCCCACUUGACUCGUGUGCGGCUGUAGUUCCCUUCCUCAGAUUGUUCGGGAUUUGGCUCGGUCGGCUCAACAUGUAUGGUAGGUUCGUCCCUAUUUUCAUGGAACAUCUAUCUCAUUUCUUCCCUUUGUUCAGCUAGCAUAGCCCGAAUCAUGGAUUGAACUCCAGCCAUGGUGAUUGGCUCAGGUGCAACUUCUUCUACAACAGGUAUUUGCUAAACCACUGGGGGUUGGUUCUUAUUCUCAUUUGCAUUCACGUUUCCGCUACAGGUCCUUGCCAUCUUGAUCUAUACACCGAAUAAGGUGAAUCUAGAUCUUUAUUUAGGAUUGACGUUUAAAUCAUCCUUAUCACUCCGAAACUUUUACAUGCUAGUUCUAAUAUCGUAUUCGUACGUUUAGAAUCCUAAACACAUAAGGUUUCCAGAUCCUGUCGGCAACAUACCAUAGAUCCGAUCAAACUAUAGCAUAAAAAAUCAUUUAGCACAUAAAAGCAAUUUAGGCAUCAUUCCUAAAAUAAGCUAGUGCUCACACCUCACAAUCAUCGCUUAGCAUUCUAAGCUUAACUCUAGAAAUAAAUCCAUAUUCCUAGUUCGCUUAAACUAAUGCUCUGAUACCAACAGUGACAUCCCCACUUUUCACGGCCAGAAAAGACCGAUAUUGUUUAUGCUUUGUAAAAAUUAGAGUACUUGUUUUCAUAAAAAUGUUGCGGAAUUUGUUCCCAAAAAAACACGAUAAAUACAUUAUCAAAACAUUUUCGAAGAAACAUAUUUUAUUCAUUUUAAAACGGUUGGGAUGUCAUCGUCAAUACAUAAACAUAAGCAUAAACGGAACUUACAUUUAUUUACACUAGUGAUCUACAUCUCUUUAAUCUCUCAGUGUAAUGUGACUUCAUAUCAACACCUGUAAUAUAAAUAAACUGAGUGGGUCAUGUUGGGAAACCUGGUGAGUACAUAGGGUUUUCAACCCACAAUAAUAUAACUAUUAUGUUCAAACAAUCAACCCAAUUACCCAUCCCCAUUAUCUUCUUUACUCUUAAGGAUCUACCCUAAGAAUCAACCAUUCCUCGUUCAUACAUUCCUUAGGAUCAUCCUGAGGAAUCGGCGCGAAGUCCAUCGUCACCGGGGUUUAGGCACUAAGUCUGCAUAGUCGCCAGAAUUUAUACAACAGGCACUAAGUCUGCAUAGUCGCCAGGGUUUUGGCACCAAGUUUGCAUGAUCACCAGGGUUUAGGCAUCAAGUCUGCAUGAUCGCCAGGAUUUAGGCAUCAAGUCUGCAUGAUCGCCAGGAUUUAGGCAUAAAGUCUGCAUGAUCACCAAGGUUUAAAGUACACCGAGUGAACACAUCGUUCACAACACUUACAGGUUGCGAGCCUGCUAGUGUUCCACUGGACUGUCUAGAGUAGUCCGUGGUUGUCAUCCAUACUCUGCUGAAUGACGGGGCCAUUGUUUGGGAAAAUGCUUCUCACAUCGUUCACCUCUCACCCUCACCUCGUGGUCUAUAACACCUCUCAACUCAUCGUUCAACUUAUAUUCGAUCUAUUACAUCUACCCAUGUUUUACCCCAACAUUUUUGUAGAUAUAAAAUGCAUAUACAGUUUAAAUCCUUUAAAACGUGUAUAAAAUCGUUCAACUAGCAUAGACAGCAAGUAAUCAGAUAAUACGCACACAUAACACAUAAUUUAUAUAGAUUACUUCAUAUCUAUGUGUAAGAUGAAAGGGACCAUGCACUCACCUGAAAGGUGGUGACUUAACACUCUGACAACGCUUCGAUACUCUCAAAACAAUUUUCCUUCGAUAAAACCUAGUACCAAUACCACUAGGGUUAAGUUUAACGAUAACCGCGACAAAUUAAUAGUCUGACUAUUAUUAUUAUUAUUAUUAUUAUUAUUAUUAUUAUAUAAGCGUUAAAUAACACUCAUUAUAACUCAUAAUAAUAGCCCAAAUAAUUAUUUUAAGGACCUAAUAACAUUACUAUAAUUAUUUGAAAGCUAUAUUAAAAGUUGCGUAAGCAUAGCUCACUUACAACGGAUUUUAAAGAAAACCGGGCUUUGCUCGGAGCAGCGUUUCGAAACCGAAAGACCCUUUUUCUCGGGACUCCGGGAGCCUCGGGGCUUCCUUUGGGUGUUAGGGGUUUUAGCUAGGCUUAGGAGAGGGUUACGGGGGUAGUGAGAGAAAGUAAAGAGAGAAAGUUGUGGUGGAAGGUGUGAAAAAUCCGAGAGGCUUCGCUUCCCUUUUAUAGGCCACAGCCUCGGAGUAUGCUGGGUGUACCGAGGACCUUAUGCGGGGCGUAAUUCGGAUAGAGCUGCCAGGUGGCGAGACCUCGGUGGAGCGACGCGGCUUCUUGUUGGACCGCACAAGGCCGAAGAACGUUGGGCGUACUGCAUUUCGGACGCUGGGCGUAAUGCGAGGAGUGACGUGUCCGAAUCCGAAGCGAUGCCCUGAUCAGCGAUGGACCGUCUAGAUCGCGCCACGUCAUCGAGUCUGCAUCAGUUUCGUAAUUUCCCCCUCCGACUUCUAAAAAUCGUAACUUUCAAGUACAAGCUCCGUUUUCGACGUUCUUUAUAUCCACACAAAGGCGUGAGCGUACUCUACAACUUUCGUUUAGACUUCGUUGCCUAAUUUCGAAUCGAU
rnacentral:lncRNA from 1 species